GAAAAUGUUGCAAAUAAUUUUCUUAUUUUGGCUUUUAUUAAACUGUAUAUUUGCUAAUAGCCAUCAUAGAAAUUUUAAAAGAAAGUUGUUCUUUAUUUUAAUUUUCUACUUAAUCAUAAUUCACACAAUAUGUUCAAAUAUAAAAAUUAAAACCAAAAUUUGCAAAGAAAGUUUGCCAAAUGAAGAAACAGAAAUGCAACCAAUCAUCUUAUGUGCAGAUCAGUGUCCCGACUCAAUGCAUUUCUCAAUGUAUUGUAUUUUUUGUAGAUAAUUAUACACUGUUAUCUCUAUUAAAAUAAGUUAAUAAUAAUAUGCAUACAUAAGCAAAAUUUAACAGUCCAC
rnacentral:lncRNA from 1 species